CAGAGUUGCAAAACUCCACAAACCCUUGUGAACGUACAUGAAGUAGUUGCUUCGGCGGAGCUCGCCGCAGGGAGCGGACCGCCGUAUCCAGACUCUUGCAGUUUAUUCGGCAUCUCUGAGUAUGCUUAUAAAUAAGUUA
rnacentral:misc_RNA from 1 species